CGUAGGGUGCAAGCGUUGUCCGGAAUUAUUGGGCGUAAAGAGCUCGUAGGCGGCUUGUCGCGUCUGCUGUGAAAUCCCGGGGCUCAACCCCGGGCCUGCAGUGGGUACGGGCAAGCUAGAGUGCGGUAGGGAGAUUGGAAUUCCUGGUGUAGCGGUGGAAUGCGCAGAUAUCAGGAGGAACACCGAUGGCGAAGGCAGAUCUCUGGGCCGCUACUGACGCUGAGGAGCGAAAGCAUGGGAGCGAACAGGAUU
rnacentral:rRNA from 1 species